AACGAACGCUGGCGGCAGGCCUAACACAUGCAAGUCGAGCGAGGACUUCGGUCCUAGCGGCGGACGGGUGAGUAACGCGUGGGAACGUGCCCUUUGCUACGGAAUAGCCCUGGGAAACUGGGAGUAAUACCGUAUGUGCCCUUUGGGGGAAAGAUUUAUCGGCAAAGGAUCGGCCCGCGUUGGAUUAGGUAGUUGGUGGGGUAAUGGCCUACCAAGCCGACGAUCCAUAGCUGGUUUGAGAGGAUGAUCAGCCACACUGGGACUGAGACACGGCCCAGACUCCUACGGGAGGCAGCAGUGGGGAAUUUUAGACAAUGGGGGAAACCCUGCUCUAGCCAUGCCGCGUGAGCGAUGAAGGCCUUAGGGUUGUAAAGCUCUUUCAGUGGGGAAGAUAAUGACGGUACCCACAGAAGAAGCCCCGGCUAACUCCGUGCCAGCCGCCGCUGUAAUAC
rnacentral:rRNA from 1 species